ensembl:lncRNA novel transcript
GGUAGCCCCGAGACCAACAGCCAGAAGUGGUUAAGAAACUAUUACACCCCGCCGAGCGCGGUGGCUCACGCCUGUAAUCCUACCACUUUGAGAGGUCCUUAGGUCAAGAGUUCGAGACUAGCCUGGCCAACAUGGUGAAACCCCGUCUGUACUAAAAAUAAAAAACUUAGCCGGGCGUGGUGGCGGGCAGUUGUAAUCCCAGCUACUCAGGAGGCUGAGGUGAGAGAAUCGCUUGAAGCCGGUAGGCAGAGGUUGCAGUGAGCCGAGAUCGCGCCAUUACACUACAGCCUGGGCGACAAGAGCAAAACUCCAUCUCAAAAAAAAAGAAAAAAAGAAAAGAAAAAAAAAAAACAAAAAGCAAAAACACUGCUACUCCCAGUAUGCCUGGUGAGGAGCGCACCGCACUGCCCCUCCCUGAAGGUACCAACUCCAUCCGCAAUCCCCAAUCCCAAUGCAUGCUUGGGAUUGUAGUCCGGCAACCUGUGACCAACGGCCGGAAGUGGCUAGGAGACUACUCCUCCCAGCAUGCCUGGCGAGGCGCGCACCGCGCUGGCCCUCUCUCCUGGGACACGCACCGCCUCCAAUCCUGGUUUAUGCUGGGAUUGUAGUCAGGCAGCCCUGUGAGCAAUUUUUCAGAUUAACUCUUAAGUACUCCACGGCUACAUGCUCCUGAAGCUGUUAUAGGCCCAGCCUCAGAUCUGUGCAGGGCGGAUGCACAAGAGCAGAAUCUCCGUGGACAUCUUUCUGGAGCAUCAAUUUUACUGCAAGAUUUUGAAGAAACACAUUUAAUUGAUUUUCAAGGUGAGAAAUUAAACCUCGAAAACUAGACUGGAAAGUCAUCUACGCCUGAACUAUCAGACUUUCUUCAGAAGAAAACUCUAAGGAGAACAUAUUUUCCAUUAUUAUAAAUAUUACAAAUGAGAAAUCAUAGCAAGUUACCUGAAAAUGCUGCCCUGGCAGUUUCCUAAAUCACAACAUGUCCUGGGUAUGGUUUUAGGUGUAUUUUCUUUUUGGGGUGUGUUCACCUUUUGGAUAUAAAAAUUGGGGUUUUUGACCACAUCUUGUAAGUUUUCUGCUAUUAGUAGUUUCUUUACUUUUGUACCAUAUUUAAUUUUUCUGUGUCUUCCUCUUCUUCUCAGACUCAGUCACUCCACAAGUCUCUAAAGGCUCUGUUCAUUUUCUUCAAACAUGUUUCAUGUUGGAUGAUUUCUAUUGCUGUCUUCUGUUUCUACUCUGUGGAUAAGCUCAAGGGUGUGUGUGCGUGUGUGUGUGUGCGUGUUUUCCAUUUCAUUAUUUUUCUAUUUGGUUCUUCUUAUAAUUUUCAUUUCUCUGCUGAGGUUCCACAUCAGUUAAUUCAUUAUGAGAAUAUUUUCCUUUACUCUCAUGAACAUACUCAUAAGAGCUGAUUUUAAAUCCUUGUCUGCUGAUCUGAUUACAUCAUGUUGCUUUUUAUCUUGUGUAUACAUUACAUUUUCAUCUUUCUUCACACAUUUCAUGAAUUUUAAUGUGUUCUAUGAGUUUCUGGUGGUUAUAGAGACUCUAAAUUCUGCUGUAUUCUUUUGAAGAGCAUUGUUAUUAUUUGAAGAAGGGGUUAAUUUGGCUGGAUUCAAACUGCAAUACCUGUCUCUCCUGCAGUGGGCACAGCUGAAAUCCUCAUUCAGUUCUUAUGCACAUAUAUGUAUUUUAUAUAGAUGUGUGAUUCUAUGUAACUGUAUAUACUAUGCAGAUUUUGUCACAGUUACAUGUGAGAGUGUUAGUUCAACAAUACUCCAGUACUACUGGAAGCCAGAACCUUAGUUUUGUUUGCUUACUGGAUUUUAUAUAAAUGAAAUAAUAUAGUAUGGAUACUUUUACACCUACUUUCUUUUACAUGUCAUUAUGUUUGUGAUAUUCAUCUUUGCUGUUGCAGAUUGCUAUAAUUUGUACACUUUAAAAAGCAUUGUUUACACUGUGGUAAAAUAUACAUAAAAUUAACCACUUUAACCAUUUUUAAGUGUGAAGUGUGCAGGAAUUAAAUACAUUCACAUUGUUUUGCAACCACCAUCCCCAUCUAUAGGGAACAUUUUUUAUCUUGCAAAACUGAGUCUCUGUGCUGAUUAAGCAACAGCUCCCAGUUACCCUCCCUCUAGCCCAUAGGAACCACUCUUCUACUUUGUGUUUCUAUGAAUUUAAUUACCCUAAAUACCUCACGUGAGUGGAAUCAUACAGUGUUUGUCAUUUUGUGACUGGUUUAUUGUACUUAGCACAAUGUCCUUAAGGUUUAUCUAUGUUGUAGCAUGUAUCAGAAUUUUCUUACUUUUGCUAAGUGAAUAAUAUUCCACUGCAUGUAAAAACACAUUUUGUUUACCUAC